GACGGUAUAGCUCAGUGAUAGAGUGCAUGCCUAGCAUGCACAAGGUCCUGGGUUCAAUCCUCAGUACCUCUG
rfam:Camelus ferus unplaced genomic scaffold scaffold2337, whole genome shotgun sequence.